GACGAACGCUGGCGGCGUGCCUAACACAUGCAAGUCGAACGGAACUUCUUUAAAGGAUUUCUUCGGAAUGAAUUUGAUUAAGUUUAGUGGCGGACGGGUGAGUAACGCGUGAGUAACCUGCCUCUAAGAGGGGAAUAACAUUCUGAAAAGAAUGCUAAUACCGCAUAAUAUAUAUUUAUCGCAUGGUAGAUAUAUCAAAGAUUUAUCGCUUAGAGAUGGACUCGCGUCCGAUUAGUUAGUUGGUGAGGUAACGGCUCACCAAGACCGCGAUCGGUAGCCGGACUGAGAGGUUGAACGGCCACAUUGGGACUGAGACACGGCCCAGACUCCUACGGGAGGCAGCAGUGGGGGGAUAUUGCGCAAUGGGGGAAACCCUGACGCAGCAACGCCGCGUGAAGGAUGAAGGUCUUCGGAUUGUAAACUUCUUUUAUUAAGGUACGAAGAAAGUGACGGUACUUAAUGAAUAAGCUCCGGCUAACUACGUG
rnacentral:rRNA from 1 species